GAAAUGCGAUAACUAAUGUGAAUUGCAGAAUUCAGUGAAUCAUCGAGUCUUUGAACGCACAUUGCGCCCCCUGGUAUUCCGGGGGGCAUGUCUGUCCGAGCGUCAUUGCUGCCCUCAAGCCCGGCUUGUGUGUUGGGCCCUCGUCCCCCGGCUCCCGGGGGACGGGCCCGAAAGGCAGCGGCGGCACCGCGUCCGGUCCUCGAGCGUAUGGGGCUUCGUCUUCCGCUCCGUAGGCCCGGCCGGCGCCCGCCGACGCAUUUAUUUGCAACUUGUUUUUUUCCAGGUUGACCUCGGAUCAGGUAGGGAUACCCGCUGAACUUAAGC
rnacentral:misc_RNA from 1 species